GCCAGUGUGGCUUAGUGGUUUGAGUGUUGGACUGUGACUCUGGAAACCAGGGUUUGACUCCCACCUUGUCC